rnacentral:lncRNA from 1 species
AGCCAUAUGAUGCUUCAAGCCAUAUUCACAACUCAACAGAAAAACAUCAAGCCAAGAGGAAGGAGAAACAAAGGACCAAUAUCAUGCUUAAGGUUUCAAAUUUGGGUCACAUAAGUCCUACCAUUAACAAUUCUAAUUCCUGAAGAAAAAAAACAAAAAUGAUAGAAUGGCUGACUCUUGCCCAACACCUUCACAAGCUAAAAAAACCAAAACUAUUCCAGAAGAACUCCCUAAAAAUUGACACCGUUAACAACAAACAUCGCUGGAAGAAGUGAUUACAGGUUCAAUAGCUCGAGUGAUUCUAACUGCUUCUGCAGUUUAUUAGAAAAGAACAUGAGAGAUUGAAGCAAGUUCAUGAUGUUGUUGCUUCGGUUCCCAGUCAAUGCAGUCAUGUCCUUAACGGGAAACUAAUUACACUCAGAAUCCUGUCUACUUCCCCUUAUGCACAAAAAAAUAGUUCUCAGCAAGCUACUUCAUCAACAGUUAUGGAAAUAGGAAGGACAAGGAUCAUAUUAAGCAAAGUAAAUCCAGGCUAACCCAAAAAUUGACUGAAGUAAGCGUACUGAUUUUCCUGCUUAGAUAUGUGAACAAAGAGUCAUGAGCAUUAUUCAACAUUAUCGAGAUUUAUAUGUUAAGGUCAGAAAAAUACGAGCGACAUUCUCAACACUUAUUUAAAGUUCAAACCCAAAACAGACAAUCAGAAACAUUCAUGACAGAGGCAAGCAACAUUCCCACUUUGCUAACGAUAGCCCAGCUAGUUAAGAUGUCCAACAGACUUCACCUUAAGCAAAUAAGACGAAUUUCAACAGGCCCGGAGGUAGUGACUUGAAACAGCUAAGCAAAUAAUGAAAAGAACAUUAUUUUCAUGAGAGCAACUCCAACAGAAGCUGAUUUUCAUGCUCAUACUAUGAUGUUCAAAAUCAAGCAAACCUAUGACCCAACCUCCAAGUUCCAACAUACAAGAGCAGUUUUACGCUAACAGACUAAUCAACUAUAACGGGAAAACUCUACAAACCUUGGGAGAACCAGUUGACUUAAACUAACAGUAGUGUGACAACUUUAAAAAUCCAUACCAUCUCAAAUCUGAAAGCAAACGUUCAUUUGAAAACGACAAAAUUUUGACUCAAAUGAAAACUCGACACCAUAAUAGCACUUAAAGAAUAUAAGCAAAGAGGACGAUCCCUCAAAAUCAACUUUUACUGACAGAACAUACUGAAAAACAUCACACCAUUGAGGAGAUUCACCAGCAAGAACUUCAAUCAUAGAACCUAACACCAUUCUGGACAGAAUUCACCGUUCAAGAACAUUAAAAAAGAGAUGCAAAAGAGAAAGAGAUUGAAUUUGAACUUUCAAACUUCUUUUUUAACAAAAAUAUAGAAGAAGCAUCAAGUACACCUUCGGAUUCCAAAAACUAGCAAGGUUCAAUGGCAGAUCAGCAAGACGACAAUAGAAAACCAAGCUUGAACUUCAAUUUUAUCUCCUUGGAACUCAAAUUAUAUAUAUAUUUCACUUAAACUUUGAAAGAACUCUUCAAUGAAGAAAAAUCAAAUCAGAGAACAGAAAACCAGAAGUUAAAGAAAC